CACUACACAAUCGUUGUCCAACUUGGAGCUAACGAGAUAUUGCACUUAUCCGCUGAAUUAUGCUACCACAUUAGAAAACAAUACUAGUUUCUUUUCAUUAACGUUGGCUCACUCUGGAGUUAACCAUAGAUCAAACGCCCUUAGUCCUGCAAUACGAUUCGCCUCUUAGUUUGGCGCUUUUGCUAACUCAAUCUAACCUCGACUAAUGGAGCUCGAUUAGGCGGAAUAGCAACCACUUUAUUGCUACCAAAACACACAAAUAAUCACAGACUUAUCGUAGUCAUCAAAUUAUAACAAUGGUUUUUCUACACCAGUACAUAUAGACGGACACACAGUUACGACAAGUCUUUUUACCUUAAUUUACACGGCAAAUUUCUGAUUGGUUUGAGCUUUUCUCUUG